CCUACGGGUGGCUGCAGUGGGGAAUAUUGGACAAUGGGGGGAACCCUGAUCCAGCCAUGCCGCGUGUGUGAAGAAGACCCUCGGGUUGUAAAGCACUUUCAGUGAGGAAGAACGCCUGGUGGUUAAUACCCAUCAGGAAAGACAUCACUCACAGAAGAAGCACCGGCUAACUCCGUGCCAGCAGCCGCGGUAAUACGGAGGGUGCGAGCGUUAAUCGGAAUUACUGGGCGUAAAGCGCGCGUAGGUGGCUUGAUAAGCCGGUUGUGAAAGCCCCGGGCUCAACCUGGGAACGGCAUCCGGAACUGUCAAGCUAGAGUGCAGGAGAGGAAGGUAGAAUUCCCGGUGUAGCGGUGAAAUGCGUAGAGAUCGGGAGGAAUACCAGUGGCGAAGGCGGCCUUCUGGACUGACACUGACACUGAGGUGCGAAAGCGUGGGUAGCAAACAGGAUUAGAUACCCGGGUAGUC
rnacentral:rRNA from 1 species